CACUUAUGCCAAGCCUCAGAAAAGACUGUCAAGAAGAUACUUAUCUUUUGCAUGCUUGAGUAAAGCAUUAUUGUGCAUUCAGUUCUGAAGCACUGACUACUGUAACAAGCCACUGCUGCAGGUGGUUCCCAGCCAUGUGUUACCGCUGGGGACCUGGUGCAAUGAUUGUGAGAUGGGCACUGAACCAGUAUUGCUAUAUCAAGGA
rnacentral:lncRNA from 1 species